UAGGGAAUCUUCGGCAAUGGGGGCAACCCUGACCGAGCAACGCCGCGUGAGUGAAGAAGGUUUUCGGAUCGUAAAGCUCUGUCGUUAGAGAAGAACACGAGUGAGAGUAACUGUUCAUUCGAUGACGGUAUCUAACCAGCAAGUCACGGCUAACUACGUGUCAG
rnacentral:rRNA from 1 species